ACAAGUAAUAAAAAAUUUUAAAAAAAAUUAUAUUAAAAUGUAAUGAGAAUUCAUCUUCCAAAAGAUUCACAAGCUCUAGACAAGAAAGUAGUUACUUAUAAUAGAAUGUAAAAUAAUACUAAAAUUCAUAACUAACAGGAAAAAUAAAAAGAAGGAAGUGAAAAAACUCAUAAAACAGUUCUUCGCUUUGCUCUUUGUGUGAUCUUGCGUCCAAAAGUAUUGGGUCACCCUCAAAAAGUCAUUCUUGGGUGUGUUUAUAUCGAUUAGAAUUUGUAUGUGAUGGAAUUAGUAGAUGAAAAAGCUGGAAUAUGUAUCCACGCUCGCACAUCGAGCUGUCGUAGAUGAACUACCAGCCUUUGAAUUUUUUUCAGUCCGCAAAGCGAUUCGCGCCUUCGCUCCACUUUACUAUUUUUGCUCUUUAGUUGUCUCCUUUAGCGCUUCUGCCUUCACGCAGAC
rnacentral:lncRNA from 1 species